rnacentral:rRNA from 1 species
AGGGUUUGAUUCUGGCUCAGAUUGAACGCUGGCGGCAUGCUUUACACAUGCAAGUCGAACGGCAGCGCGGGGAGCUUGCUCCCUGGCGGCGAGUGGCGCACGGGUGAGUAAUACAUCGGAACGUGUCUUCUAGUGGGGGAUAACUGCCCGAAAGGGCAGCUAAUACCGCAUGAGACCUGAGGGUGAAAGCGGGGGAUCGCAAGACCUCGCGCUGGAAGAGCGGCCGAUGUCCGAUUAGCUAGUUGGUGAGGUAAAGGCUCACCAAGGCGACGAUCGGUAGCUGGUCUGAGAGGACGACCAGCCACACUGGGACUGAGACACGGCCCAG